CAAGGCUCGGGAAGCACCCGGACGACGGGCACGUGAAGAAAUGAGCGGCGCACGACGUCAAGGUUUUGAGCGGGACGCCACCAAGACCGAGGUAACGGGGUGGACGGGAUGUGGAAAAGGACGAAUGGCACACAAGUGAAGACGGAAGCGGCAUACAGAUGAGUCAAUUUCUAUGAAUAUGUACAUCUGUAUUGGAGGACAGAUGCGAGAGCGGGCAGAGUAUUGAGUGUAGUCAGGGAAGCUGCGGUCGAGGUGCAGGUUGUUUGGCUCGGUCUGGAGUAGUUUUUGGAGUUGUUAAGGGCGCAGGUGUUGAAUUGAGGAGUUGGUAGGGAGGCAAUGCAAUGUUUUGGGAUGACUCCACAGGUGCGCUGUCCCAGGAUCAACGACUCGAGGCGAGUGUGGAAUAGUCCAAUUAUCCCAGCAAAAAGAAGGACAUGAAUCCAUUUUCUUUUUUUGACAGGUGGAAACGUUUUGCUGCUUCAGGAGCUUUACUGGGAGAGUAUUUCAGAGUUAUUUGUAGUCGUUGGUGGGAAGUCGUUCACUAAGUCACCGGGUGUGCAUGGACUGCGCUUGUCUUUAUUUGAUGAAAGAGGACGAAAGGCCCCACGGCUCCAAAAGGAAGAGUUUCUGCUUUUUC